AAACGGCCGUGGACCUGAAAAGUUUCAUUAGAAUACACCUCUCAAGUCAGUCUCCUCUGCAUCCUGGUCGUCGCCUUCGUCUACCUCUCGCCUCGCCGUCGCCGGAAGAGGAGCUAACCGGCUGGAGAUCGAUUGAUCCAACAUGAGUGACAAUCCUCCAGGCUACUUCGUUGGUCGCCCAUUGAACCAUGAAGAACAGCAAGCUUCACGGCCGGCUGAGGAACAGAACGCUCAAUUCCCUGGCUACUACAAUGGCAAUCCGGUCAGACCAAAUGAUGCUAAGGGUGCACAGAGGAAUGAACCGGGCUUCUUUAAGAAACUCUUCGGGUGCUUCACUGGCGGUCAAAAUGUGAACUAGAUCAACACGGCUGUAUUCGCAAUGUUAAUCGACAGUUCAUCAAGAAAUCAGUGGAAUUUUGAUGGAGAAGUUAUCAUUUUAGGAAAUACAAGUUUUGUUUCUUCCAAAGUUUUUCUUUUCCUGCAGUUACACUGUUGUGAAUUGUACAAUCAUAUCCCAAGCAAAUGAGAUUAUUCCGCGUUAUCCAUUAGUAUUUUGCUUACCUGUUUGGAUCUAUCAAUUUACUAUAUUGCUACUGGUCUCAUUAAAAGGAUUGUUUUAUCCAAGUCGUCUUUGUCAA